AUCCAAUUUUCGAGUCCCAAAUAGGACGAAACAUGCGUCAAACUGGAU
rnacentral:hammerhead_ribozyme from 1 species